UUGGUAGUUUGGUAAUGAAAGGAAUGAUUGUCUUGUGAUUGUACCUUUUGUCUAUCUGUUCUUUAGAAAUUAUCUUUUGGAACAACCGUGUUCUGCAAAGGCUUAAACUUUCCUCCAUGAUGAAAGGAGAUAAGGAAAUGGAGGUGUUUUCCUCGGGUGGAGGCAACUCCACAGAUGAAAGCAACCAACUACAUGUAAUUGACUGGAAAUGAGUUGUAGUAAGUCCUGCGGCCAGGAUACAGCAUCUGCGGCUUUCUUAACAGAGAAAAUAUGACACCAUUUUAUUGCAAACUGGCCAAAAGUUAAGGUACCCA
rnacentral:lncRNA from 1 species